rnacentral:rRNA from 1 species
AUGAACGCUGGCGGCGCGCCUAACACAUGCAAGUCGAACGGCACCCACCUUCGGGUGGAAGCGAGUGGCGAACGGCUGAGUAACACGUGGAGAACCUGCCCCCUCCCCCGGGAUAGCCGCCCGAAAGGACGGGUAAUACCGGAUACCCCGGGGUGCCGCAUGGCACCCCGGCUAAAGCCCCGACGGGGGGGAUGGCUCCGCGGCCCAUCAGGUAGACGGCGGGGUGACGGCCCACCGUGCCGACAACGGGUAGCCGGGUUGAGAGACCGACCGGCCAGAUUGGGACUGAGACACGGCCCAGACUCCUACGGGAGGCAGCAGUGGGGAAUCUUGCGCAAUGGGGGGAACCCUGACGCAGCGACGCCGCGUGCGGGACGGAGGCCUUCGGGUCGUAAACCGCUUUCAGCAGGGAAGAGUCAAGACUGUACCUGCAGAAGAAGCCCCGGCUAACUACGUGCCAGCAGCCGCGGUAAUACGUAGGGGGCGAGCGUUAUCCGGAUUCAUUGGGCGUAAAGCGCGCGUAGGCGGCCCGGCAGGCCGGGGGUCGAAGCGGGGGGCUCAACCCCCCGAAGCCCCCGGAACCUCCGCGGCUUGGGUCCGGUAGGGGAGGGUGGAACACCCGGUGUAGCGGUGGAAUGCGCAGAUAUCGGGUGGAACACCGGUGGCGAAGGCGGCCCUCUGGGCCGAGACCGACGCUGAGGCGCGAAAGCUGGGGGAGCGAACAGGAUUAGAUACCCUGGUAGUCCACGCCGUAAACGAUGUCGACUUGGAGGUUGUGCCCUUGAGGCGUGGCUUCCGGAGCUAACGCGUUAAGUCGACCGCCUGGGGAGUACGGCCGCAAGGUUGAAACUCAAAGGAAUUGACGGGGGCCCGCACAAGCAGUGGAGUAUGUGGUUUAAUUCGAAGCAACGCGAAGAACCUUACCAGGGCUUGACAUAUGGGUGAAGCGGGGGAGACCCCGUGGCCGAGAGGAGCCCAUACAGGUGGUGCAUGGCUGUCGUCAGCUCGUGUCGUGAGAUGUUGGGUUAAGUCCCGCAACGAGCGCAACCCCCGCCGCGUGUUGCCAUCGGGUGAUGCCGGGAACCCACGCGGGACCGCCGCCGUCAAGGCGGAGGAGGGCGGGGACGACGUCAAGUCAUCAUGCCCCUUAUGCCCUGGGCUGCACACGUGCUACAAUGGCCGGUACAGAGGGAUGCCACCCCGCGAGGGGGAGCGGAUCCCGGAAAGCCGGCCCCAGUUCGGAUUGGGGGCUGCAACCCGCCCCCAUGAAGUCGGAGUUGCUAGUAAUCGCGGAUCAGCAUGCCGCGGUGAAUGCGUUCCCGGGCCUUGUACACACCGCCCGUCACACCACCCGAGUCGUCUGCACCCGAAGUCGCCGGCCCAACCGUCAAGGGGGGAGGCGCCGAAGGUGUGGAGGGUGAGGGGGGUG